rnacentral:sRNA from 1 species
GCCUCAAGAAGAAGAAUCUGGC